AUGCAAAUUUUCCACUUGUGUGGUUUGGAUGGUUCUCCACAAUAUAAUAUCUCUCCACAAGCAUAAUAUUAGAUUUACUUCAUGUUUUUUACAGAUAAUCAAUUACAGUUAAUUGGUGGAACGUCUUCUAAAGAUAGAAUACACAAAAUUAUGCUGAGCGUUUUGUUAAUUCUAACAAAUCGCUAAAUGUUCCUCAGUGGCUUGUAAAACGUGAUUCAAAACAAGCGCAUAAAUUUCAAAUACAAAACGCUAGAUAGUCUUUAUAAUUUGUAAUUAAAUUUAUUAUUCAAGAAAUUUCGCAUACUAUUCAGUUCUCCACGUAUUGACAUGUUAAAAUCGUUUUAAUCAUGGCGUUUUAUAGAAUUUUUUUUAUCAUGGCUGAUUUAGUGUAAAAAUAUUUUUCAAAAGAAAAAGGAGACGAAAAAGCCAAGCGUUUAAAAUCUCAAAAUAAAUUAUUAAACUGAAAGGGCUCGUCAAUUAAUGCAUUAAUAAGACAUUUGCAACAUGUUCAUAACAUUAAUAUCAAGAAAAGAACAUUAAAUGACGAUCAAACUGCUGGUUCAAAUAACUGUGAGACAACCCCUGCAAAAGCAAGAGAGUCUCUAGCAUUAUUUUUUCAAAGAAAUAGUCCUUAGUAGAGUCAGUGACCAGACUUGCGGCCUUUGAUGGAUUUUCAAUUCACGGAAUAUGCAAAAGUGAAUUCAUUCGUCAAGCAUUAAGUGAAAAACAAUAUCAUUUUCGACGCGAUCCACGUAUUAUCGGAAAAGCCUACACUACAUACAUAAGUCCGAUCUUAGAAUAUUGCUCUCCGGUUUGGUCGCCAAACUGCACAAAUGAACAAAGUAGUGGAAAGAGAUCAAAGACGUUUUACAAAGAGAAUUGCUAAUCUAAAUAACUUUUCAUAUUUUAAUAGACUUAGAAUUCAUGGUUCGGAACAACUAGAAAUUUGUCGCCUUAAGCAAGACAUAAUUACAUGUUACAAAAUUUUGAACAAUUUAGUUUGCCAAAAUAAAUCAAGCUUCUUUUUAAUAAACAACUAUAUUUACACUCAAGGUUACAAUAUCAAAUGAUGCAUCAACCAAUGAUACUGCCGCAGUAAUCAAAUUCGGUAGAUUAUCUGGUUUUAUACAUUAAUUAUGGUAUAACCACGACAUACACUUGGCUGUAAUGGACGUUGUUUAUAAAAGAAAUGAAAAUUCCAAAGUUAGUCUCACAUUGAUUCUUUAGAAAAUAAAUCUAGAUUUUCCAGUGAUAACUCUAGCGAACCUGAAAAUGAUAAUCUAAACAAUUUCGAACCUCAAUUUCAACGAUUUCGAACCUCAAGAUCCAAGAACAAGAUCCUCAGGGGAUCUUGUAAGUUGCAACAAUACGUUUUAAAUAAUGGUUUUUACAUAUUAUUCCUAAUUUUUUUUAACAUUAUUAUUAACUAUAAUUAAAUAUAUAUAUUAACUGUAUAUUAAUAAUUAUAUAGAUAUUAACUAUAAUUAAAACACAUCAGCUAUAAAAAACUUACAGUAAUAAAAUAAAAAUUUCAAAAGUUAUUGAUGAUUUUGUUUUUUCAAUAAUAAAAAAAUGGUAAGUUAAAAAAAUAUUUUUCAAAUAAAAAAAGAUUAAAAAAAUCAGAUUUAUUUAAUGUAAAUAAUUUAAUGCAUUGAUUAGAGUAAUCAUGAUGCCUACAGGGUAAGUUGCAACAAAUUGCUUCGGGUAAAUUGAAAAAUAAUUACCAGUUUUAUUGAUUUUACGCACUUUUCUAGAUAUUUCUAAAGUAAUUUUAACGUCGACUUUUCUAUCUCCUUAUAAUUCUACAUCAAUUAACAAAAAACAUUUAAGAGAUCUAAUUGAUGAAUUGAAAUGUGAUUAGUUCUUUUGUUUCUUUAAUACUUGUUUGUUUUUUAAUAAAUGUUUAUUGGAAGGUUUUUAAUAAAUGUUUAUUGGAAGUUUGUUGUUAUAGUUUUUUUUUUAGUUUAGUUA